rnacentral:rRNA from 1 species
GAGGCUUUUUGGGAGUUCACUAACUUCGGAUCCCAUUGGAACUUCGAAGUUAAGCGAGUUUGCGCAAGAGCAAUCCCAGGAUGGGUGACCCACUGGGAAGUUCUUGUGUGAGUUCU